GUCCGCUUUAGGCUGUUAAAGAGAAUUCGAGGAUACUAUUAUAUAGUUCGAAUAUGGAAAAAUAUUUAUCUGGUUUCAUUACAUGAAAAUGUUCUUUAAAUGUGGAAGGACAUGAACCUUAUGAUGAUCCAAGUUUAAAAGGGUUUACAAGAUAUUUUAAUAACAGAACUAUAAAAGGCCGUGCAAAUGUAUCUAUGGCUACAUUUGCAUUUAUGUUUUGUAUGUACGUGUACAUAAAACACGGUAGAAAAGAAAAAUAAUGGAACAAUAUAUUAAUAAAAUGUUCGUUUAUAGUGUAAAACAUAUACUAUUUCAGAAGUAAAUAUAAAUGACGAACUAA